UGUUCUCGUUAGAUCACCGAAGUCAAGAAUCAUUGGGCGCGGUCAGUACUAGGGAGGGUGACCACCUGGGAACACCGCGUGCCGUU